rnacentral:rRNA from 1 species
CGCAACCCUACGUUUAGUUGCUAACGCGUGAAGGCGAGCACUCUAGACGAACUGCCGUUGACAAAACGGAGGAAGGUGGGGAUGACGUCAAAUCAUCAUGCCCCUUAUGUUCUGGGCUACACACGUGCUACAAUGGCCGGUACAGACGGACGCAAAGCCGCGAGGCGGAGCAAAUCCGAAAAAGCCGGUCUCAGUUCGGAUUGCAGGCUGCAAUUCGCCUGCAUGAAGUCGGAAUCGCUAGUAAUCGCAGGUCAGCAUACUGCGGUGAAUACGUUCCCGGGCCUU